CUCAGUUGUUGGAUUAUUACCACUGACCCUUCAAUGCUGAAAAUAAAGACACUGAAUGCUGAAUAUCAUUGUUGGCUUUAAGGAUCAUCAAAGUGACAGAAAAGCAUGACAGGUGCUGUAAAGGUUUUGUUCAUAUGCUGUCUACUUCAAGGUAGCUUAUGCCAACACUGGGCAGCCUUCAUGCCCCAGACAGUGGAGGGACUGAGUGGAUCCUGUGUGAUCAUCCCCUGCAGCUUCACCUUGCCCUCUGAAUGGGAUCAACACCUGGAUGAUUCGUGUAAAGCCAUAUGGAAGAGAGGUAGCUGGAGCCGAACCCAAGUGUUUGAUUCCAGCCUCAUUGGAGCAAGUUCAGGCUUGAACAUCCUGGAAGGAAACCUAA